CGGUGGGAGCGCCGGUGUCGCCGCGUCGGGGGGGAGGGGCGGCCGCGGCGCCGCCCGCUGAGGGGACCGGCCCGUCCCGGGUGUGUCCGGCGGGACGGUCGCUGCCCUGUGAGGCUCCGGGAGGGAGGAGCGUUGAGGUGGAGCGGUCGCUAUUUGAAGCGCUUUCUGAGCAUCCAGGUCACCGUGUCUUUCUGACUUGCAUUGACCAGUGUGUCGCGGCUGUUCCUUCUGCAGUUUCUUCUCGUUAACUUGGCCUCUGACGUUUGUGGACGAGGCGCCGGGUCUGCACGGUGCCCGCAAAUGCCACGCGACUAGACGGCACUUUGUGUGUGCGCUACAGUAUCCGUCAGUGGCUAUGUUACUUCAGGAGAUUGGGUAAAAAGCGGUUUAAUGACGAUGGUGAUUUUGUUUCUAGGUGUCUCGGAGGCCUGAGCUGCGCAUUUCCCUCCUGAAACUCCGGGGAGAAUCCCCCUCCCCGCCGCCUCCCGCCGCCCGCGCCCCGUCAGCGUCGUGUGUUCCCGUCACUGGGAACGGCCUUUCGGAUCUCACAGAAGCAUGACUGAACCAAUGUUUAACUUUUACCCCUAAGAGAGGGCCAAUCCAGAAAGAACCUUUGACUUGGUAUUGAAAGUGAAAUGUCAUGGCUCUGAAAAUGAAGCCGAGAAACCUACAAUGCGCUUACUAAUUGGUUAACAGAUGCCAGAACGCUAGCGAGUCAGAACAUUGUGAUCAUCCUCUGUGGAAACAAGAAGGACCUGGAUGCAGAUCGCGAAGUUACGUUCAUAGAAGCCUCCAGAUUUGCUCAAGAAAA